GAUGAACGCUGGCGGCGUGCCUAAUACAUGCAAGUCGAGCGAACAGACGAGGAGCUUGCUCCUCUGACGUUAGCGGCGGACGGGUGAGUAACACGUGGAUAACCUACCUAUAAGACUGGGAUAACUUCGGGAAACCGGAGCUAAUACCGGAUAAUAUAUUGAACCGCAUGGUUCAAUAGUGAAAGACGGUUUUGCUGUCACUUAUAGAUGGAUCCGCGCCGCAUUAGCUAGUUGGUAAGGUAACGGCUUACCAAGGCAACGAUGCGUAGCCGACCUGAGAGGGUGAUCGGCCACACUGGAACUGAGACACGGUCCAGACUCCUACGGGAGGAAGCAGUAGGGAAUCUUCCGCAAUGGGCGAAAGCCUGACGGAGCAAAGCCGCGUGAGUGAUGAAGGUCUUCGGAUCGUAAAACUCUGUUAUUAGGGAAGAACAAAUGUGUAAGUAACUAUGCACGUCUUGACGGUACCUAAUCAGAAAGCCACGGCUAACUACGUG
rnacentral:rRNA from 1 species